CCCUUAGAUGUUCUGGGCCGCACACGCGCUACACUGGCAGGUUCAUCGAGCUUCAUGCCCUGAUCUGAGAAGAACGGGAAAUCUUUGAACACCUGCCGUGCUUGGGAUAGAUGUUUGCAAUUAUUCAUCUUCAACGAGGAUUGCCUUGUAAGCGCACGUCAUUAGCGUGCAUUGAAUACGACCCUGUAUUCUGUACACACCGCCCGUCGCUCCUACCGAUUGAAGUUUUCGGUGAAUUUACUGGAGAUCCCUUUUGAAGGUGGUUCGCCACUGGAAGAAGUAUUCAAAAGUAAAUGAAUCGAAUGCUUUAGAGGAAGGAGAAGUCGUAACA
rnacentral:rRNA from 1 species